CUGGAAUGAGUCUCCCGGGCUUCUGUGAAAAGGGACCGGGUCUGAGAGGCUUUGAACUGCCGAUGUGCUGGCCAUGACCAGAGUGCUUGUUCUCAUACGUGAGGCUCAGGGAGCCAUGUCUGGCUGCAGCCUGGCCCAGGCAUCGACAGUGGAAGUCAUCCUGGUCCAUACUACUCAUAACUUCCCAGGAACACAAGGGAACAGACCAUUGGCUGGGAAAUGAGCAGGGCGGCGCCUCCUGUUGCCUUAAACCUCCAAGUCCAACUCCAUCAUCUCCGUCUCCUCCAUCUCCUGAGGAGGGAGGAAUACAACAGGACAAUCAAUACACAAG
rnacentral:lncRNA from 1 species